UGCCCAAUAGCUCAACAGGUUAGAGCAGACGACUCAUAAUCGUUUUGUAGUAGGUUCAAGUCCUUCUUGGGCAACCA
rnacentral:tRNA from 1 species